AUAUCCCCCGCCUGCCCCGCCCCUUUCCGUCCCUAGUCCCGCCCUCGCUACACACGCCCCGCCCACUUCUCGGAGCCCCGCCCAUCGGCGGGCGGCGGGAGACUGGGUCAGGGCCAUGAUCUUUGUGCUAGGCGGCAGCAGCCUUCCUCCCUUCUCUAGGAGAGAAAAAAAAAAAAGAAAAGAAAAGAAAACGAGUUGCAGCUGACUUGGGCUGGUGUUGGGGGCGGAUGUGCUAGGUGCUGAGGCUGCGGGGCUGAGCCAGCUGCUUUCCUUUGAAAGUGCGAAGAGAGGUGUGAUCAGCCCCUGCCCGGUGGAGGUGUGAACUUCCCUUUCUGAGAAGAGGGCUUAAUUGACAGGGAGAGGGGUCCCUUGAAGAUAUGAUAAUGGAAUCUCUACCAAAAUAUUUACAGAUGAAGCAAUUUGUUUCAGAAAAUUACUGGAGAGAGAGAAGUCAAUGGAAGCAUGGAUGAAGUAAAAAGUGGCCAUGAAUAAAAUGGCAAAACUGCUUGAUCCUGGGAUGAAUAUGGAGGAAAGCAGAGAAUACAGAGAAAGAAAGCAAGACAUUCUGAGGAUACCAUUUAAACAUGUGGAUAGAGCAAUGCCUGACUGACUGGACUCAUUGCUGGACUUUAUAAUCCUUUAAGCUAAUAAAUGUCCUUUUGGGAUAAA